rnacentral:tRNA from 1 species
GGAGAACAAGCUUAGUGGUAGAGCACAUGCUUAGCAUGCAUGAAGUCCUCGGUUCAGUCCCCAGCACCUCCA